rnacentral:rRNA from 1 species
UUGGUCGCGGUCGUAGUGCCUGGUGCACUUGUUUCUUCGGGCAUUUAGAAUGUGCAGUGACGUGGUUAGGUGGAGUGGACUUAGUAGGUGGGUGGUGAAGGUGAGGCCGUCUCGCGUGGGUCCGCCGCCUCUUUUGUUUGGUACCGGCGAGGGCCGGUUGACGAGGGGAACUGGGCGAGCGAAGACGGAGGGAGGCGAGGGGGGAAGGAGAGGCCGGCGGCAGCGGACGGAGGAGGGCGGGCGCGAGUUUGGAGCGCAGGCGGAGGUACCGUCGGGGCGGCGGAGCGCACAGGAAGAGGAGAAGUCGGCGAGGCGGGAGACCGGCCCUUGUCCUGGGCGGGGCAACGACGCGGAGGACCCCGGAGGCGGCGGCCACCUCCGCUCCGCGUCCGAGACCGCCGCCUCAAGUACUGCAGACUCUCCCACUUCCACCGCCGCUACGACCCCGACCGGGAGCGCGAGACGUUGCGGCUGGCGCAGCAGUACAGGCACCGGUAGCAGGGCGAGAGGGUCCGCAUGCCUACCUGGGGAAGGAAGCGGCCGCAGCACGUCAGCAGGAAGGAAACCCCUAUAGACUAUAGUGGAUAUUAGCCACCUCGCGAACAACUGAUGAUGCCGCCCUUCGCUCAGUACCGCAUACCACACCGAAAUACCAGGAAGCGAUGUAAGGAAAGGGGAACCCGUCGACGUGCGAGUGAAACCAACAAGUAGAGUUGAUCUUAAGACGAGCCACAACGUCUUCCUCACCGUAACGGUACAUACUUGUUAUACCACGACUCCACCAAAGGAGCAUGACUUGCUAGAUCACGACACCCCUAGCGCUACCGACCGAAAGUCGAACCUUUAUGGUAGCCGAAUGAAGAAAGGGGAUAAUAGUACAGUGCUUGACCUUGUAAACCUGGGAAACACUAAAAACCAAACAAACCUAAAGACACCCACGACCACACCUAUAGACGAUAUUGCCCUUGAGGACCACUUGUAGGAGUUUAUAGUCGUAUACUUGAUCUCAUAUAAUGUUUCCCAGUCUUUAACCACUUUGGAGUUCAAGUUUCACUUUUUGAUUCUUUCUAGGGAGGCAAAUCUUUGGAUGAAAGAUUUACCGGCUGGACCCGAAAUUAAAGACGUUUACGAUACGUAUCGACCCCGAUAAAGCAGUAGGAAAGUACCUACGGUCACAUAAAGUUUUGGUAUAAAGUACAGUUAGACUCUCUUCGACGUACCAAAUCACGUUAAGGGACCCAGUACUACCGUCAAAAUCCAAUACACCGACCACAACAUAGUCUGCGUGAAUAGGCCUUACCGUGUUCGUAAUGAAAUUGAGCCUUCUAUUACGUCUGUUAACCGAAACACCCAGGACCAUAACGAGAAUAACCAAACUUACGUCGUUUCUCAGGUCGGUAACGAAGUCGAACCGAUUGAUAACGACAACCAAACUUCAGGAAACCAGUGAGUCCUAAGGAACAUUUAAAAGUCCUCUAGCGGGGUGUUAUACGACCUCACGAUGUACCUUACCGUUUAUGCCGCCCUUGUAAACGACGGUAAAAUCCUUGAUAACCUCGUCCUAAGAAACAACUAGCCUACCCAAGAAAGGCACCUAAAAAUUGUAAUUGUAGUGAAGAUAUAAAGUCGUCACGGGACAAGACCCUAUAGAAACGAUGACCUCUCGCACAACUAAAACUACCGUCAUCGAUCGCCAUUUCUCUUUUAUAUAUCAUUUGUUAAACUACUAAGUGACCCUCAUAACACCGUAAUAGUAUACCCUAUCAUGGCCUUUAAAGGCACUUGCUCUCUACUCGUAAUGUGUAGGCCUGAUGUUGUAGCACACGAAGCUACAUCACCUUCAUACACCACUUAACAGAAUAACACCUUCGUCCCAAAGUCUCCAAAUCUAGUACACUUAGAAAGACUACGCGUUCAGGCUUUACACUUAAAGUCCUCAGUUCCUAUGGACUUCGUACGGUCUCUUAUUUACCGCCACAUCCUCGACAUGAAAUCCCCACCGUUUGACCGCUACCGUCACCAUCUCUGGCUUUUAUUACCUGUCAUACCAACUUACCGAACUAGAUCGUAUCAAACCACUCCGUUCUCAACGGGAACAAAUUUUACCGAUCGUCAACAUGACGUACUAAUCACUUUUCCACUCUGGUCCUUGAGUGUUUGUUUCACCCCUUGGACAACUCCCACAUUUCUGUCAUUAUAUUCAACACCUCCCGUAAAUUUGAGUAUUACACUCUGUAAAAUCGAACUCGGCCGCAAAGUACUAUCGACAGGUAACUGGCUUCCUCUUAAUAUCAAUAACGUUACAGAAUGACAAGUAUUUACACGCCUUUUAUAUCAUACCAUGAACAUUGAUAGUCGUAUGGAUCAGGGGA